rnacentral:rRNA from 1 species
GAUGAACGCUGACAGAAUGCUUAACACAUGCAAGUCGAUGGGGAAGUGGUGCUUGCACCAUGGUAACCAUGGCGGACGGGUGAGUAACGCGUAAGGAACUUGCCUGCGGGACUGGGAUAACAGCAGGAAACUGCUGAUAAUACCGGAUAAGGUCAUUAAGCUGCAUAGCUUAGUGAUGAAAGGAGACGCCUGCGGAGAGCCUCGCGUCCUAUUAGCUAGUUGGAGGGGUAACGGCCCACCAAGGCGAAGAUAGGUAGCCGGCCUGAGAGGGUGGACGGCCACAAGGGGACUGAGAUACGGCCCUUACUCCUACGGGAGGCAGCAGUGGGGAAUAUUGGACAAUGGGGGCAACCCUGAUCCAGCAAUUCUGUGUGCACGAAGACGGUUUUCGGAUUGUAAAGUGCUUUCAGCAGGGAAGAAGGAAGUGACGGUACCUGCAGAAGAAGCGACGGCUAAAUACGUG